rnacentral:rRNA from 1 species
UACGUAGGGUGCAAGCGUUGUCCGGAAUUAUUGGGCGUAAAGAGCUCGUAGGCGGUUCGUCGCGUCGGCUGUGAAAAUCCCCGGAGGCUCAACCUCGGGUCUGCAGUCGAUACGGGCGGACUGGAGUUCGGCAGGGGAGACUGGAAUUCCUGGUGUAGCGGUGAAAUGCGCAGAUAUCAGGAGGAACACCGGUGGCGAAGGCGGGUCUCUGGGCCGAUACUGACGCUGAGGAGCGAAAGCGUGGGGGAGCGAACAGG